GCAUGGUCGGCAGUUGGAAAGAAUUUCGGUCAGGGAUGAGCUCGCGGCCUAUCAGCUUGUUGGUGAGGUAAUGGCUCACCAAGGCGUCGACGGGUAGCCGGCCUGAGAGGGUGACCGGCCACACUGGGACUGAGACACGGCCCAGACUCCUACGGGAGGCAGCAGUGGGGAAUAUUGCACAAUGGGCGAAAGCCUGAUGCAGCAACGCCGCGUGAGGGAUGACGGCCUUCGGGUUGUAAACCUCUUUUAGCAGGGAAGAAGCGAAAGUGACGGUACCUGCAGAAAAAGCGCCGGCUAACUACGUGCCAGCAGCCGCGGUAAUACGUAGGGCGCAAGCGUUAUCCGGAAUUAUUGGGCGUAAAGAGCUCGUAGGCGGUCUGUCGCGUCUGCUGUGAAAACCCGAGGCUCAACCUCGGGCCUGCAGUGGGUACGGGCAGACUAGAGUGCGGUAGGGGAGAUUGGAAUUCCUGGUGUAGCGGUGGAAUGCGCAGAUAUCAGGAGGAACACCGAUGGCGAAGGCAGAUCUCUGGGCCGUAACUGACGCUGAGGAGCGAAAGGGUGGGGAGCAAACAGGCUUAGAUACCCUGGUAGUCCACCCCGUAAACGUUGGGAACUAGUUGUGGGGUCCAUUCCACGGAUUCCGUGACGCAGCU
rnacentral:rRNA from 1 species